CCUACGGGAGGCAGCAGUGAGGAAUAUUGGUCAAUGGGCGAGAGCCUGAACCAGCCAAGUCGCGUGAGGGAGUACUGCCCUAUGGGUUGUAAACCUCUUUUGUCGGGGAGCAAAAGCCGGACGGGUCCGGCUCUCAGAGUACCCGAAGAAAAAGCACCGGCUAACGCCGUGCCAGCAGCCGCGGUAUUACGGAGGAUGCGGGGGUUAUCCGGAUUUCUUGGGUUUAAAGGGUGCGCAGGCGGAUUUUAAAGUCAGCGGUCAAAUCGUGGGGCUCAAACCCAUCCAGCCGCUGAAACUGGGGAUCUAGAGUGUGCGAGAGGUAUGCGGAAUGCGUGGUGUAGCGGUGAAAUGCGUAGAUAUCACGCAGAACCCCGAUUGCGAAGGCAGCAUACCGGUGCACAACUGACGCUCAGGCACGAAAGCGUGGGUAGCGAACAGGAUUAGAUACCCCAGUAGUC
rnacentral:rRNA from 1 species